UGAUUUUGAAAGUGUCAUCCAAGAAGACUUUUAAGGCAGAAAUCUCAUCACAGUCAUGCCCAAUUACAAUUAUAUCAUCAACAUAUACAGCUACCACAACAAGGGAAUCAGGAGUACCUUUGAGAAAUAAAGAAUAAUCAUUCAAAGAGUGUCUGUAACCUCUGGAAUGAAGAGCAGAAGACAGUCUAGCAUACCACUGUCUGGAGGCCUGCCUG
rnacentral:lncRNA from 1 species